rnacentral:rRNA from 1 species
GCCUCUAGUGCACCGGUUGUUCUGCCAAGGGCAUAGCCGGGUAGCCAAGCACGGAAGGGAUAACCGCUGAAAGCAUCUAAGCGGGAAGCCCCUCCCAAGACGAGUUUUCCCUAUGAGACCCGUUGAAGACUACAACGUUGAUAGGCCGGGUGUGGAAGUGCGGUAACGCAUGGAGCUAACCGGUACUAAUUGGUCCAUUGUCUUUUUGUA